GCUCAGAUUUUUUUUUUUUUUUUUUUUGCGGUAGGCGGGCCUCUCACUGUUGUGGCCUCUCCCGUUGCGGAGCACAGGCUCCGGACGCGCAUGCUCAGCGGCCAUGGCUCACGGGCCCAGCCGCUCCGCGGCAUGUGGGAUCCUCCCGGACCGGGGCACGAACCCGUGUCCCCUGCAUCGGCAGGCGAACGCUCAACCACUGCGCCACCAGGGAAGCCCUAUACUUUUAAAAUACUAAUAACUUUGCAAAGAGCCAUUCUAGUAAGUCAUAUAUUAGCACAAAUAUACCAAUACAUACAUCAAAACUUUGAUAAUCCCCACAUUAUCAUUAGUUUUGA